UGUAAGCGUAUACCAAAGUUGUUGCAGUUAAAACGCUCGUAGUCGGACUUUGGCAGUUCCGGAUGUGUGCACGUCGUGUGCGCACUUCGCGGGGAUUGCUUUUGUGGUCUUGCGUAGGAUGAGGCACUUUUAUUAGUGAACGUCCUCACGCAACCACUUUUUACUGGGAGAAAAUCAGAGUGCUCAAAGCAGGCAUUUGCCGUGAAUGUAUUAGCAUGGAAUAAUAGAAUAGGACUUGGUUCUAUUUUGUUGGUUUGUUGGGACUGAGUAAUGAUUAAGAGGGACAGUUGGGGGCAUUUGUAUUUCGGUGCUAGAGGUGAAAUUCUUAGAUUACCGAAAGACAAACUGCUGCGAAAGCGUCUGCCAAGGAUGUUUUCAUUGA
rnacentral:rRNA from 1 species